AACAUCGCGCACCUGCGGGAACCUGCGGAGGGAUCAUUAUUAUUUGGGUUGGGUUUACUUUUUCGCUUCUCUUUUUUUAUGAAAAAAAAAGUAAACUUAUGCCAAAUAAUUAAGCGAAAAAAUUUUUUUUUGAAACUUAAUUAUUCUACUCCCUACUUAGUAGGGAGGAGCAAGAUGAACUUUUAUUUAAAACCAUUCACUCUUUACAAAAUAAAUUUAAUACAUAUAAUUAUAAAUGAU
rnacentral:misc_RNA from 1 species